rnacentral:piRNA from 1 species
UGUUGACACUUUGGGUCUGAGUG